rnacentral:rRNA from 1 species
UACGUAGGGUGCAAGCGUUGUCCGGAAUUAUUGGGCGUAAAGAGCUCGUAGGCGGUUUGUCGCGUCUGCUGUGAAAACUCGGGGCUUAGCCCCGGGCCUGCAGUGGGUACGGGCAGACUAGAGUGCGGUAGGGGAGACUGGAAUUCCUGGUGUAGCGGUGAAAUGCGCAGAUAUCAGGAGGAACACCGGUGGCGAAGGCGGGUCUCUGGGCCGAUACUGACGCUGAGGAGCGAAAGCGUGGGGAGCGAACAGG